AAACUUAAAGGAAUUGACGGGGGCCCGCACAAGCGGUGGAGCAUGUGGUUUAAUUCGAUGAUACGCGAGGAACCUUACCAGGGCUUAAAUGUAGGUUGCAUUAGACAGAGAUGUUUAUUUCUUCGGACUACUUACAAGGUGCUGCAUGGUUGUCGUCAGCUCGUGCCGUGAGGUGUCAGGUUAAGUCCUAUAACGAGCGCAACCCCUGUCGUUAGUUGCCAGCAUGUAAAGAUGGGGACUCUAACGAGACUGCCGGUGCAAACCGCGAGGAAGGUGGGGAUGACGUCAAAUCAUCACGGCCCUUACGUCCUGGGCUACACACGUGCUACAAUGGUUGGUACAACGAGUUGCGAGUCGGUGACGGCGAGCUAAUCUCUUAAAGCCAAUCUCAGUUCGGAUUGUAGGCUGCAACUCGCCUACAUGAAGUCGGAAUCGCUAGUAAUCGCGGAUCAGCACGCCGCGGUGAAUACGUUCCCGGGCCUU
rnacentral:rRNA from 1 species